UGGUCCCUGUAUUAAGUGAAAUUUUGCCAUAUCAAUUUGGGUAUAUUUUGGGUUUGAACACUUUAGAGGGGCUUUAACAUUUUAGGGACAGAAAAUUGAUUGAGAUAUUAUCUCUAAAUGACAUUAAGUACAUGGGAUUUAUAUACACAAAAACAUUUGGGAUAACAUUUUUCUGUAAAAUGGGGUUUGAACAUUGAACUUAUACAUGUAUAUAUUUUUUUGGGUGCAAUUUAUAACACACAAAACUACAAAAGCUAAAUAGUAGCUGAACGACCAGGAGCGAUAUUCUCGCUGAAACUGCAUCCGGGUGUUUGGUGUCCCUGAAUCUCCUCAAGAAGACACAACUACAACGAUCUGCAAGAUUGUGCAAGAGAAACUGUGCAUCACUUUAAAACCGGAAGAUAUUGACCGAUGUCACUGUGUUCGAAGACGGAAACCACCUCCCCAUCCAGGAUCACGGCCAAAACCAGCGGCCAUCAUCAUGAAGCUGACAUCAUAUCAACAUCGACAGCGGCUGAUCGUCUAAUCUGAAAAGGAACGGAAUAAGCUGCGAGGAUCUGACUGAUGCCAAUCGUACUCUCUUACAUGAUGCUUUCAUCGCAAGCAAGAAACAGAACAGUGAGAUAGAGGCAGCAUGGUCGAUGGACUGAGGGAUCAUCGUCUCUGUGAAGACAUCACACGAACGAGUGUUGGAUUGCUCUGUGUUGGAGUUGCUGGAAGGAGGUAGUGGUGUUUAAGUAUCCCUAUUGAUGUCAACCAAUAUGAAUGCAUCAGUCCGAAUCAGGAGGUCAUGGAAGAGCCUGACGGCACACCUGAUGAAUGCUCUACAUCGAGAAAGAUUGAAAGAGGCCGCUUUACAAAGAUGAAAAGCCCUGAUGACGUAUCUGCGAGUAUUUGUAAGAAAGGUGAUGGCACAUCUCUUGGCGAACCAAAGACAGGACCUCUUACCAAGUACGCACAUCCAGACUCACUGAUCAACACCCUUGAAGAAUCACUCAAGAAUUGUGAUGGUUGUCUUAUGAACUUUGGAAAGUGCAAGCAAAACCUACCAAACCCACUGAUGAAAUAGCUGUUGAUCUCAAAUCCUACAGGAAAGUGCAAGCAGAACCUACCAAAUCCACUGAUGAAAUAGAUGUUGAUCUCAAAUCAUACAGGAAAGUGCAAGCAAAACCUACCAAACCCACUGAUGAAAUAGAUGUUGAUCUCAAAUCCUACAGAGUUCAUGCUGGUGGCAAAAACCAAAAAAAGGGUAAAGCAAGGAACAAGAAAGAAGCAGUCGAGGUUUUCAGAUUGAUAACGGACACAGUGUUGUACUUAGUACUCCAAGUUGGCAAGGUGUGUACAAGCAUUGCAUGAGGUUAGCAAAAACAAGGGGAUGUCCCAUGCACACUGAAUAUGAGGUAACUAGUGUAUGUGCAAAAGCAACUUCCGGUAAGAAUGAAACCUUGAAAGGCUAUCCACAGUUACAGGAUGUUUUUUGUAGUCAGAUUCCAUCGUCAAAUAGUCACAGUGAAAGUCAGUUUGAAAGCUCUGGAUGUUCCAUACAUUGUGAAAGCUUUGAUGAAGUUCAAUUGGAACUUGAAUUGGAUGAGAGUGUUUUCCCACAAAAAAUGAUUGAUA